UACGUAGGGAGCAAGCGUUGUCCGGAAUCAUUGGGCGUAAAGCGCGCGUAGGCGGUUCGUCACGUCGGGAGUGAAAACUCGGAGCUUAACUCCGAGCCUGCUUCCGAUACGGGCAGACUAGAGGUAGGCAGGGGAGAGCGGAACUCCUGGUGUAGCGGUGGAAUGCGCAGAUAUCAGGAAGAACACCGGUGGCGAAGGCGGCUCUCUGGGCCUUACCUGACGCUGAGGAGCGAAAGCGUGGGUAGCGAACAGG
rnacentral:rRNA from 1 species